rnacentral:rRNA from 1 species
GUGUCAGCCGCCGCGGUAAUACGAAGGGGGCUAGCGUUGCUCGGAAUUACUGGGCGUAAAGGGCGCGUAGGCGGAUGUUUAAGUCGGGGGUGAAAGCCCGGGGCUCAACCUCGGAAUUGCCUUCGAUACUGGACAUCUUGAGUACGGGAGAGGUGAGUGGAACUCCGAGUGUAGAGGUGAAAUUCGUAGAUAUUCGGAAGAACACCAGUGGCGAAGGCGACUCACUGGCCCGUUACUGACGCUGAGGCGCGAAAGCGUGGGGAGCAAACAGGAUUAGAUACCCGGGUAGUCC